GCUCCAAUAGCGUAUAUUAAAGUUGUUGCAGUUAAAAAGCCCGUAGUUGAACUUCAGACCUGGUGGGGUGGUCCGCUUAACGGCGUGUACUGCUCUGCUGGGCCUUACCUCUUGGUGAGCCGGCGUGGCCUUAACUGGUUGCGUCGGGGAACCAGGACUUUUACCUUGAGAAAAUUAGAGUGUUCAAAGCAGGCCUAUGCCUGAAUACAUUAGCAUGGAAUAAUAAAAUAGGACGUGCGGUUCUAUUUUGUUGGUUUCUAGAGUCGCCGUAAUGAUUAAUAGGGAUAGUUGGGGGCAUUGGUAUUGAGUCGCUAGAGGUGAAAUUCUUGGAUUGACUCAAGACCGACUACUGCGAAAGCAUUUGCCAAGGAUGUUUUCAUUAAUCAAGGACGAAGGUUAGGGGAUCGAAAACGAUCAGAUACCGUUGUAGUCUUAACAGUAAACUAUGCCGACUAGGGAUCGGGCGACCUCAAAUUUGAUGUGUCGCUCGGCACCUUACGAGAAAUCAAAGUUUUUGGGUUCUGGGGGGAGUAUGGUCGCAAGGCUGAAA
rnacentral:rRNA from 1 species